UCCCUGGUAGUAUAUCGGUUAGUACACGCGCCUGUCAUCGUAUUUUGUCGGACGCGCGAAAGCUGGGUUCGACUCCCAGCCAGGGAG